ensembl:lncRNA
AUGAGACUAGAUACCAUGGGACUAUAUACUGUGGGACUAGAUACUGUGGGACUAGAUACCAUGAGACUAGAUACCAUGGGACUAUAUACUGUGGGACUAGAUACUGUGGGACUAGAUACUGUGGUUCUAGGUACUGUGAGAUGAGAUACUGUGGGACUAGGAACUGUGGGACUAGAUACUGUGUUAGCACUGGAGAUACUGUGGGACUAGAUACUGUGGGACUAGAUACUGUGGGAUGAGAUACUGUGGGACUAGAUACUGUGGGACGAGAUACUGUGGGAUGAGAUACUGUGGGACUAGAUACUGUGGGACUAGAUACUGUGGGACUAGAUACCAUGGGACUAGGUACUGUGGGCUAUAUACUGUGGGACUAGAUACCAUUGGACUAGGUACUGUGGGACUAGAGACUGUGUUAGCACUGGAGAUAAUAUGGGACUAGGUAUUGUGGGACUCAAUUCCAUUGGACUAGUUACUGUGGUACUAGGUACUGUGGGACUAGUUGCUGUGGGACCAGGUACUGUGGGACUAAAUACUGUGGGACUAGAUACCGUGGGACUAGAUACUGUGGGACUAGGCAUUGUGGGACUAGAUGCUGUGGGACUAGAUACUGUUGGACUAGAUGCUGUGGGACCAGGUGCUGUGAGACUAGAUACCAUGGGACUAGAUACUGUUGGACUAGAUACUGUGGGACUAGAUACUGUUGGACUAGGUACUGUGGGACUAGAUACUGUGGGACUAGAUACUGUGGGACUAGAUACCAUGAGACUAGAUACCAUGGGACUAUAUACUGUGGGACUGGAUACUGUGGGACUAGAUGCUGUUGGACUCAUUACCAUGGGACUAGAUACUGUGGGACUUGGUACUGUUGGACUCACUACCAUGGGACUAGAUACUGUGGGACUCAUUAUCAUGGGACUCGGUACUGUGGGACUAAGUACUGUUGGACUCAUUACCAUGGGACUAGAUACUGUGGGACUAGGUACUGUGAGACUCAUUAUCAUGGGACUAGAUAAUGUGGGACUCAUUAUCAUGGGACUAGAUACUGUGGGACUAGGUGCUGUGGGACUUAUUACCAUGCGACUAGGUACUGUGGGACUAGAUACUGUGGGACGUUACCAUGGGACUAGGUACUGUGGGACGUUACCAUGGGACUAGGUACUGUGGGACGUUACCAUGGGACUAGGUACUGUGGGACUAGGUACUGUGGGAUUAGAUACUGUUGGACUCAUUACCAUGGGACUAGGUUCCAUGGGACUAGGUACUGUGGGACAUUACCAUGGGACUAGGUACUGUGGGACCAGAUACUGUGGGACCAGAUGCUGUGGGACUAGGUACUGUGGGACGUUACCAUGGGACUAGAUACUGUGGGACCAGAUACUGUGGGACUAGGUACUGCGGAACUAGGUACUGCGGAACUUCUGCUGGUUGGGGAACAUUUUGAUUGAAACCACAAUAUUAACACUCUUAUGAGUGUACAUGCAUUUUUGUAUAUUAUAUAUCAGUGGAGGCUGCUGAGGGGAGGACGGCUCAUAAUAAUGGCUGGAUCGGAGCAAAUGGAAUGGCAUGCAACCAUGUGUUUGAUGUAUUUGAUACCAUUCAACUCAUCCCAUUCCAGCCAUUUUAUAUAUAUAUAUAUAUAUAUAUAUAUAUAUAUAUAUAUAUAUACACACUUCAUGACCAAAGGUUUGUGGACACCUACUCGUCUCAGCUCAUUCUAAAAUCAUGGGCAUUAAUAUGAAGUUGUUCCCCCUUAGCUGCUUUAACAGUUUCCGCUUUCCACAAGAUGUUGCAACGUUUCUGUGGGGACUUGCUUCCAUUCAGCAACAAAAGCAUUAGUUAGGUCGGCAUUGAUGUCCGGGCAGUGAUGUUGGGUGAUUAGGCCUGGCUCGCAGUCUCCGUUCCAAUUAAUCCAAAAAGUGUACGAUUGGUUUGAGGUCAGGGCUCUGUAUAGGCUAGUCAAGUUCUUCCACAACGAUCUCAACAAACCAUGUCUGUAUGGACCUAACUUUGUCCACGGGAACAUUAUCAUACUGAAACAGAAAUGGGCCUUACCCAAACUGUUGCCACAAAAUUGGAAGCACAGAAUAGUCUAGAAUAUCAUUGUAUGCUGUAGCGUUAACAUUUUCCUUCACUGGAACUAAGGGGCCUAGCCCGAACCAUGGAAAAAAGACCCAGACCAUAAUUCCUCCUCCACUAAACUUUACAGUUGGCACUAUGCAUUCGGGCAAGUAGCGUUCUCCUGGCAUCCGCCAAACCCAGAUACGUCUGUCGGACUACCAGAUGGUGAAGCAUGAUUCUUCACUCCAGAGAAUGCGUUUCAACUGCUUCAGAGUCCAAUGGAGGCGAGCUUUACACCAUUUCAGCCGAUGCUUGGAAAUGCGCAUUGUGAUCUUAGGCUUGUGUGAAGCUCCCGAUGAACAGUUAUUGUGCUUAUGUUGCUUCCAGAGGCAGUUUGGAACUCGGUAGUGAAUGUUGCAACCGAGAACAGGUGAUUUUUACCCGCUAUAUGCGUCAGCAUUUUGCGGGUCUGUUCUGUGCGCUUGUGUGGCCUACAACUUUACCGCUGAGCCAUUGUUGCUCCAAGAUUUUCCCACUUCACAAUAACAGCAUUUACAGUUGGGUAGCUCUAGCAGGGCAGAAAUUUGACAAACUAUCUUGUUGGAAAGGUGGCAUCCUAUGACAGUGCCACGUUGAAAGUCACUGAGUUUUUCAGUAAGGCCCAUUCUACUGCUAGUGUUUGUCUAUGGAGAUUGCAUGGCUGUGUGCUUGAUUUUAUACACCUGUCAGCAAAGGGUGUGGCUGAAAUAACCGAAUCCAUUAAUUUGAAGGGGUGUCCACAUACUUUAGUAUAUAUAUACUGGUCCAGUCAAAAGUUUGGACACACCUACUCAUUCAAGGGUUUUUCUUUAUUUUUUUAUUAUUUCCUACAUUGUAGAAUAAUAGUGAAGACAUUAAAAUGACAAAAUAACACACAUGAAAUCAUGUACUAACCAAAAAAGUGUUAAACCAACCCAAAUAUAUUUUAUAUUUUAGAAGCUCCAAAGUUGCCACCCUUUGCCUUGAUGACAGCUUUGCACACUCUUGGCAUUCUCUCAACCAGUUUCACCUGUAAUUAUUUUACAACAGUCUUGAAGGAGUUCCCACAUAUGGUGAGCACUUGUUGGCUGCUUUUUAUUCACUCUGCGGUCCAACUCAUCACAAACCAUCUCAAUUGGGUGAAGGUCGGGUGAUUGUGGAGGCCAUUUACUCUGAUGCAGCACUCCAUCACUCUCAUCCUUGGUCAAAUAGCCCUUACACUGCCAGGUAUGUUGGGUAUUUGUGUCCUGUUGAAAAACAAAUGAUAGUCCAACUAAGCACAAACCAGAUGGGAUGGCGUAUCGCUGCAGAAUGCUGUGGUAGCCAUGCUGGAUAAGUGUGCCUUGAAUUCUAAAUACAUCACUGACAUUGGCACCAGCAAAGCACCCCCACACAAUCACACCUCCUCCUCCAUGCUUCACGGUGGAAACCACACAUGCGGAGAACAUCCGUUCACCUACUCUGCGUCUCUCAAAGACAGAGUUUGGAACCAAAAAUCUAAGUUUUGAUGUCUUCACUAUUAUUCUACAAUGUAGUAAUUAUUAUUCUACGAAAUAGUAAAAAUAAUGAAAAACCCUUGAAUGAGUAGGUGUGUCCAAACUUUUGAGUGGUAGUGUAUAUAUGUGUAUAUGUGUAUACGUGUGUAUUUUUUGUAAAUGAUACAUAUUAGAUUGUAACUAUUUAAAUGAUGUACAGAUUCUUCUUCUAGACCCAUAUAGGUUAUUAUUUUAUCUAAUGAUGUUUUUUUUUGUUCUUACCUCUACCUGGCUGUAAAUGACAUGUCAUGGAGUCAGAUCAGAUGGUGAAAAAUAUACCAGCACAGCUUGACGUUCUCUUUAUAAACAUGACUUUUGUCAUUUCACCUCCUCAUUGUACAGUGACAUCCCACUGGGCACAAACUGGUUGAAUAACUUUGUUUUCACUUUGAAAACUGAUCAGGCAUCAAUGUACCAGCACAGAUUGAUGUUCUCCUUUAAAACAUGCCACAAUGUAAAGGAAUUCCUGGAAUUGUAUCAUUUUUUUCACCUACCUUUUCAACUAAAUCCAAUGACAUGGUUAAAUACAACUCAAUCAAAAUGUAAAUAUAAACUAGAUGUUGAACUGAUGACUGUGCCCAGUGGGUUGUCAUGGUGAAUCAUAUCAAACAUAUCAAGAAUAGCAUUAGGGUUUUCUUGAGGAAAACAUCAUGGAACAAUAAAUAUAUCAGAUUGUAUCAUCAGCUCUCAGGUUUCAAUAUGACAUCAUGACCAUGUGUAACUGCAGCAUAAUAAUGAUAAAAAAUAUAAUAUCCUCUUAUAGUUUGUCUUCACUUUUCACAUGCAUCAUCAAACUCCUCUGUGAUCAUCAAUAAACUUAAUG